rnacentral:rRNA from 1 species
AUGAGCAAGGAGGAUGUGCUCAAGAUACAGACCUGCGUGCUCAAGGUGAACAUCCACUGCGACGGGUGCCAGAAGAAGGUGAAGAAGAUCCUCAGCAAGAUCGAUGGCGUGUACCAGAGCACCAUCGACCCGGAGGAGGGCAAGGUGAUGGUGUCCGGGCUGGUGGAUCCGGACACCAUCAUCAAGAAGCUCAACAAGGGCGGCAAGCCCGCUGUGCUCUGGGGCUCCAAGCCCGGCGGCGUCGCCAACCAGUUCCAGAAGCUCCACCUCGACGGUAACGGCGGCGGUGGUAAGGGCCAGCAGCCCAAGGACGCCGGCGGCAAAGGCCAUCCCAAAGAUGCCGGCGGCAAGGCCCACAAGGGCGGCGGCAAGGACGCCAAGAUGGCGAUGCCGCAGCCGACCCCGCAGCAGAUUCAGCAAAUGCAGCAGCAGAUGCAGAUGAAGGGCGCGCCGACCCCGCAGCAGCUCCAGCAGCUGCAACAGCAGAUGCAGAUGAAGGGUGCGCCGACGCCGCAGCAGCUCCAGCAGCUGCAGCAGCAGAUGCAGAUGAAGGGCGCGCCGACGCCUCAGCAGAUGCAGCAGCUGCAGCAGCAGAUGCAGAUGAAGGGUGCGCCGACGCCGCAGCAGCUCCAGCAGCUGCAACAGCAGAUGCAGAUGAAGGGGCUGAAGCUGCCGCCGCAGUUCAUGGGCGCCGCCGCGGCCAAGAUGCCGUUCCCGGCGGGUGCGCCGGCCAAGGACCCCAAGUCCGUCAAGUUCAACCUCCCCGAGGACGGCUGGGGCGACGACGGCGGCAGCGAGUUCGACGACGAGUUCGACGAAUUUGACGAUGACGAAGAUUUCGACGACGAGGGCUUCGAAGACGACUACUACGACGACCCCAAGAUGAUGAUGAAGCAGAUGGCCAUGCCGCCGAACGCCGGCGGGGGCGACAAGAAGGGCGCCGGCAAUGGUGGGAAGAAGGGCGGUGGAGGAAACGAGAUCCCUGUGCAGAUCAAGGGGAACGGCAACAACGGCGGCGGCAAGAAAGACGCGGGUGGCAAGCAGCAGCACCAAGGUGGCAACGGCAACGGCAACGGCAACGGCGGCGGUAAGAACGGAGGCGGUGGUGGGCAGCCGAACAACGUCAAGGGAGGAGGAGCGCCGGUCCAGGGAAAAAAGGGCGGCGGUGCUGGUGGCCCGGCCCCAGGCAUGGGUGGCCCGAUGGGCGGCGGCAUGCCGCCGCAGCAGCAGGCCAUGUUCAGGCCUAACAUGAUGGGCGGCGCCGGUUUCCCCGGCAUGGGCGGUCCAAUGGGCCACCCGCACGCGGCGAGCGGCGCGCAGGCUGGCCGCGCCAUGCAGGGCAUGCCGCCGGCUGGGCUUUACCAGGGCGCUGGCGGCGGCAUGCCGUCCGGGGCGGAGAUGCUUCAGGCUGCGGCCGCGGCCGGGAACCCCAUGGCGCAGCAGCAGUACAUGCAACUGAUCCAGCAGCAGCAACAGCAGCAGCAGAUGGCAAUGCUGCAGCAACAGCAGCAGCAGCAGCAAAUGAUGAUGGUGAACGGCGGCCAUGGCGGCGGCGCGGGAGGGUACCCGCAGAUGGGCUACGGGCCAGGGUACGGGCGUCCGCCGAUGGGCUCGUACCCGAUGCCAACCGCCUAUGCGAUGCCGCCGCAGCCACCAGCGGGGGAGCCUUACAACUACUUCAGCGACGAGGACCCCAACAGCUGCUCGGUGAUGUGA